GCCAUAAAAUUGACCCAAAAGGCAAGUCGGCUAUAAUCAGUUUAGAUUUAGACGUAGUGUAAUUAGAGGAACUAAUAAAGAAAGGCUGCUACUAAUCUCAAGCAAACAGAAGAGAGAACACAUGAUCCACCAUUCCUUCCAACUUAUUCAACUUAUUCUCCUAAUCUUCGCCGUGUUGUCCUCUCCUUGACAUUGGAUGAAUUUUUCAUCCGCCCCGCAUGAUGUUUCUGUGAAGAUCCAGAUCCAUCCAAUGCCACUCUCCCUGAGUUCUGUGAUUGCUCCACUGAAGGAAGUGCCCAACCUCCACGACCUGCCUGAUGAUUCUGUCCACCACUAACGGAUCCUGAGAUCCCAAAAAAAAUUAUCAACUUACAUAUCCCAGAUCAAGCCCCAAUAUAUACUAUUGGCUUGCCAUAAAGAAUUGCUGAAUGCAUCAAAUGUCACUUCACAUAUUACAUUAUCCAAACUACAUUAAAAGCACUAAGGAAUCCCUAGACGAACAACUGAAUAUUUUUAUGAGACAAAUAAAAUGGCCAACCUUAAAAAAAAAAAAAGCUAAGUCAGAACUCAACCUCCCACAUUCAUAGGUUAAAUCCACGUGUUUCAACCUAAAUUUUCUAGUCCUGCAUAACAUGACAUGUAUUCAUUACAUGGAGAUUUUGCCAUCAGAAAUGUCCGUAUCAACAAAAUUGUCACUUCAACUGAGAAAAGCAACCCAAGGAUUGCCAAAUGCAAGUACCAUAAUUGCAAAACUAUAUUCAUAUCAAGGACUUAGAACUACAUUCACAAGAAAUAACUGGAUCACAAAAUGCAAUCGCAUUUGCAGAUCAUUUCCUAGAAUAGCUAUCACCAUUGAAUCAUUUAAGGUGACUCACGAUUUAUUAUAAACACAUUUACUUGUUAUCUCAUUGAAACCAAGCAGACUAAAUAUUUCAACAAUCACAGAGAAUACUUGCAUAUUUCUCAUGAAGAAUCACACUCUAAUUCCAAGACAACCCAAAAGAUCUCUCAUAUGGCCAACAGUAGCCGACAAAAUUAAAAUAGCGUAUUCUAGGCCACAAAAACAUACCCAUUUCAUUAUGGCCAAUAAAACUACCAGUCCAACCAGGCAGGACCUUUCUGGCAUUUCCAUUCCAAGCUUCUUCAAAACCAUCAAGCUCAUCUGCAGGUUCAACCAUUAAAAUCUUAUUUAGUCAAUGAUGUUAAAAAUCCAAAAAUACAAGCGGACGGCCAACCAGAGCAUAAAUAAGCAUAUCAGAUAUCCACUGCUGCAGAUAAGGUCUACACCCGCAAAUUGCAACACAGGAAAUACAAACCAUAAAUAUAAUCGUACAUACCUUCAUCUAGAUUGUGCAAAGUCUGCAUUGUAUCCACCUUACCAUCAGAAUUUAGGUUCCUUGCAACAGAAUGGCCCUAUGAAAUAUAUUUCCAGAAUAGAAUCAAUAAUCAUACAUCAUGCAUAAAUUGAACACAAAAUAGCUCAAAUUAGCCAUAAAUACAACAGCAAGAACCCAAAACAGGACCACUGAAAAGACUAUCCAACAUAUACCUUGUUGUGGAGCCCCCUUGAAACUCGGUGUGAUGCUUGCCUUGUAGAAGUAUCAGCUUCUUUGCUUUCUUCAAAAGUUACCUGUUACACACAUCGUCAAUUUUUUUUAAUUAAAAAAGAAUUGACAGAAAGUAAUCCACUUCAUCAUCAUCCUUUGAGGUAACUUACACCAUCACUUCCUGUCCUCCUUGUCUUUGAGGAAGUAUAAUAAGCACCAUUAGCACCACCGUAACUGACAGUAGAGCUAGAAAAGGUGUAACUGUGAGUUUGGGGUUGAUGCUGUGCAACAUUGUAUCGGCUAUAGUCAUUCCUGUGUUGUAGAUGUUUGUUCUUCCUCUCUGGAGAAAAAGGAAAAAAGAUAUUAUCCCUCCAGACUCAAAACAAUAAUCAUUGCACCCCUCAAUUUUUUUUUUUUUUUUAAAAAAAAAAGCCAUAACGCCAAAACAAAGGACACACUUCACCUUCAACCUCAUCCUCAGGACGCUCAACAACAGGCCCAUUGCUAGACCUACCAUGCUUCCUAGAAUUAUCAUUUUUCUCUUCAGCUGCUUGUUCUUUUUCAUCAUCCGAGUUCAAUUCUUCAAUAAUUGGCCCCCUUGACCUUUUAGGCUGCGGAGGUUGAUUCUCAAUAAAAGCAUUUUGAUGCAUAUUGGCAAAAGGACUUCCAGUAGGAGGACCGAAAAAGCUUGACUCAAACAUGCCCCCACUGAAAGGGCGUGUGAAGAAAGGGUCAUCAAACGGGUCCCUUCCGCCAAAGAAACUAGACAUUAAACUCCUGCCACCACCAAAGCCCCCAAAACCAGCAAAAGGGUCACCAAAAUCAGAGAAAGGAUCCCUGCCUCCUCUUCCUCUCUGCAUCUGGCCAAAGCUAAAACCCUAGAAACUAACAAAACCCCACAAAACUAGGAUCAGCACACCAUGAAGAUCAUUCACAAAAAUGUAUAAAUCUACUAAAAAUCAGCAUAACAUGGAUCAAUAGAAACACAAUAGCCAGAAACGGUAAAAUCUGACAUGCCUACUCAUGAGAAACAUACCAAAAGAAACAAGCCCACAUCUACGUGAUCCUUACUAAAAGAAACAAAAACAUUUACCAGAAACAAACAAACGUCUACAAUAAUACCACAAUUCACAAUUAAUUAUUCUCGUUAAGCUCCCAAACCCUACACCAGAAACCCUAAUGCCACCACAGCAAGACACAAAACUAACAAUAACACGAUCCAAAAGGCAUACAGACGAAAAAUCAAAGAAAAAACCUCUUCAAUAUCAUACUUUUUAAGUGGAAAACAAUCAUAAUUUUGAACCACUUAUUCAAACAAUCACAACAUAAGACUCAAGGACCCCACAACAUAAGACUCAAGGACCCCCCACACUUUUUAAGUGGAAAACAAUCAUAAUUUUGAACCACUUAUUCAAACAAUCACAACAUAAGACUCAAGGACCCCCCACAAAAAAAAAAAAACCGAUGCUUUAAAGAGAGGGACAUUACCUGAUAGUAAUCGAGAGAUGGCAAGAAUACCAACAGAAACUCG
rnacentral:lncRNA from 1 species